AUUUGGUUUCUUCCAAAAGCCUUCAGUUCAAUCUUCACCUCCCAAAUGAGCUACUCAAACCCCUAAUCCAAUAAUUAUAAUCUUCUUCCCCAAUCUAGAUUUGCGUCUCCGCCAAUGUCAACGCAAACCACCGCCUCUACAACCGCCUCCUCGGCGGAGAGUGAAUCCCACGCUCCGCUCCUCCUCCCCCGCCAAGAAGCCCCCUCCUCCCCUCCCGUCCGCCCAACUUCCUUCGCGGUUCUUCUCGGCCGGGCCACUGGCCGCCGCGGACCUUCCAUGUUAGUCAGAGAGAG
rnacentral:misc_RNA from 1 species